rnacentral:rRNA from 1 species
GACGAACGCUGGCGGCGUGCUUAACACAUGCAAGUCGAACGGCAAGGCCCUGCUUUUGUGGGGUGCUCGAGUGGCGAUCGGGUGAGUAACACGUGAGUAACCUGCCCUUGACUUUGGGAUAACUUCAGGAAACUGGGGCUACUACCGGAUCGGAGCUCCUGCUGCAUGGUGGGGGUUGGAAAGUUUCGGCGGUUGGGGAUGGACUCGCGGCUUAUCAGCUUGUUGGUGGGGUGGUGGCGUACCAAGGAUUUGAAGGGUAGCCGGCCUGGGAGGGUGGCCGGGCACAUUGGGACUGAGAUACGGCGCAGACUCCUACGUGAGACAGCAGUGGGGAAUAUUGCACAAUGGGCGGAAGCCUGAUGCAGCAACGCCGCGUGCGGGAUGACGGCCUUCGGGUUGUAAACCGCUUUCGCCUGUGACGAAGCGUGAGUGACGGUAAUGGGUAAAGAAGCACCGGCUAACUACGUG